rnacentral:rRNA from 1 species
AUUGAACGCUGGCGGCAUGCUUUACACAUGCAAGUCGAACGGUAACAGGGUGCUUGCACCGCUGACGAGUGGCGAACGGGUGAGUAAUGCGUCGGAACGUGCCGAGUAGUGGGGGAUAACGCAGCGAAAGUUGUGCUAAUACCGCAUACGUACUGAGGUAGAAAGUGGGGGACCUUCGGGCCUCACGCUAUUCGAGCGGCCGACGACUGAUUAGCUAGUAGGUGAGGUAAAGGCUCACCUAGGCGACGAUCAGUAGCGGGUCUGAGAGGAUGAUCCGCCACACUGGGACUGAGACACGGCCCAGACUCCUACGGGAGGCAGCAGUGGGGAAUUUUGGACAAUGGGCGAAAGCCUGAUCCAGCCAUGCCGCGUGUCUGAAGAAGGCCUUCGGGUUGUAAAGGACUUUUGUCAGGGAGGAAAUCCCUAGUGCUAAUAACACUGGGGGAUGACAGUACCUGAAGAAUAAGCACCGGCUAACUACGUGCCAGCAGCCGCCGCAGUAA